AACGCGAAGAACCUUACCAGCUUUUGACAUGUCCUGGACGGAUUGCAGAGAUGCGAUCUUCCCUUCGGGGCCGGGAACACAGGUGCUGCAUGGCUGUCGUCAGCUCGUGUCGUGAGAUGUUGGGUUAAGUCCCGCAACGAGCGCAACCCUCGCCCUUAGUUGCCAUCAUUCAGUUGGGCACUCCAGGGGGACUGCCGGUGAUAAGCCGGAGGAAGGUGGGGAUGACGUCAAGUCCUCAUGGCCCUUACAGGCUGGGCUACACACGUGCUACAAUGGCGGUGACAACGGGAGGCGAAGGGGCGACCCUUAGCAAAUCUCGAAAAGCCGUCUCAGUUCGGAUUGCACUCUGCAACUCGAGUGCAUGAAGUUGGAAUCGCUAGUAAUCGCGGAUCAGCACGCCGCGGUGAAUACGUUCCCGGGCCUUGUA
rnacentral:rRNA from 1 species